UUACAUUCGUGGAAAUGUGCAAGAACUGCGAUGUGGUGCUUUCUGGGUAUGAUAAGUGGAGUCCUCUGAUUAGUGUUAAUUGGUGCAUUCUUGAGUCUACCUCCCACACAUAACAUGCCAUUUUCAUCAAUGACUGGAUUGAGAGGCAGUAACUUACUAUCCUUGUGUAAGGG